rnacentral:rRNA from 1 species
AUGGUCUCCUCCAGGGACUCGCCAUGGAGGUUGCCGCCGGAUCCACGGCGGAGUAGCCGAGAUCCGCCGCCCGUUUCGCGGCGCCUCGGCCCGCCAAGGCCAGCGCCGAGGCCGACAAGGCGCGCAGGAAGGUCAAGGCCCUCACCAAGCAACGGGAGGACUUGCGGGCUAGGCUCGCCUACCGCAAGUGCGCCCACGAGCUCACCUCCAUGCCGGCCAAGGCCACCGCCGUGA